AUACGGAGGGUGCAAGCGUUGUCCGGAUUUAUUGGGUUUAAAGGGUGCGCAGGCGGUGCGUUAAGUCAGUGGUGAAAUCUUCCGGCUCAACCGGGAAACUGCCAUUGAUACUGGCGCACUUGAGUACGGACGAGGUAGGCGGAAUUUAUGGUGUAGCGGUGAAAUGCAUAGAUACCAUAAAGAACACCGAUAGCGAAGGCAGCUUACCAGACCGUAACUGACGCUCAGGCACGAAAGCGUGGGGAGCAAACAGGAUUAGAUACCCCAGUAGUCC
rnacentral:rRNA from 1 species